GGUAGUGUAGCAUACUGGUUAGGCACUGGGCUCAUAACCGAAAGGUUGCUGGUUCGAUUCCCCACUGGGGCACUGCCA